UACGUAGGGUGCAAGCGUUGUCCGGAAUUAUUGGGCGUAAAGAGCUCGUAGGCGGUCUGUCGCGUCGGAUGUGAAAACCCAGGGCUCAACCCUGGGCCUGCAUUCGAUACGGGCAGACUAGAGUUCGGUAGGGGAGACGUGGAAUUCCUGGUGUAGCGGUGAAAAUGCGCAGAUAUCAGGAGGAACACCGGUGGCGAAGGCGGGUCUCUGGGCCGAAACUGACGCUGAGGAGCGAAAGCGUGGGGAGCAAACAGG
rnacentral:rRNA from 1 species